rnacentral:rRNA from 1 species
CCUACGGGGGGCAGCAGUGGGGAAUAUUGCACAAUGGGGGAAACCCUGAUGCAGCGACGCCGCGUGAGUGAAGAAGUAUCUCGGUACGUAAAGCUCUAUCAGCAGGGAAGAAAAUGACGGUACCUGACUAAGAAGCCCCGGCUAACUACGUGCAAGCAGCCGCGGUAAUACGGAGGGGGCAAGCGUUAUCCGGAUUUACUGGGUGUAAAGGGAGCGUAGGCGGCAGCACAAGUCUGGAGUGAAAUCCCGGGGCUUAACCCCGGAACUGCUUUGGAAACUGUGCGGCUGGAGUGCAGGAGGGGUAAGCGGAAGUCCUAGUGUAGCGGUGAAAUGCGUAGAUAUUAGGAAGAACACCGAUGGCGAAGGCGGCUUACUGGACUGUAACUGACGUUGAGGCUCGAAAGCGUGGGGAGCAAACAGGAUUAGAUACCCGAGUAGUC